rnacentral:lncRNA from 1 species
GCUCCAAUUAAUAGCUCCAAACUAAUAGAGGAAGAGGGUUCUCAUUUCAAAUUGUCCAAUAUCAUCAUUAUCUAGAUAAUGCAUCCGUCGGGUAAGUUCUUACCGAUUCUCACUCCACCAGGUGCCAAAGCACUGCUGUCACCAAACACGGCAUUCUUGUUCACAGUGAUGUUUGCAAGGUCACAUAGUUUUUCAACCUUGUUGCCUGGAAGAACAUUAUUUGAAGGAUCAAAUUUCACAUCAGAUUAAACCAACAUGCAUGACCCAGAAACUUUACAAUUCAAUUCUUUACCUGUCAACCCAAGGGGCCUAAGAUCCCACAGAACAAGGUGGUUCUCGGUGCCUUCAGUAACAAGCUUGUAUCCCUUGCUCAUCAAGUAGUUUCCAAGGGCAACUGCAUUGGCCUUGACUUGCUUAGCAUAGGCCUUGAACCCAGGGCUCUGGGCCUGUUUCAAUGCAACAGCCAGAGCACCAAUCUGGUGGUUGUGAGGACCACCCUGAAGAGAUGGGAAAACUGCAAAGUUGAUCUUGUCUUCA